rnacentral:lncRNA from 1 species
UCAGAGGAUAGGCUUGCUCUUAUCUUUCCCAUCCUAAGGAUCCCUCAACUCAGAGCAGGCAGAGUCGUCAGAAGGGGCAGAGUGGAUACUGCUGGCGUUUGCAGCCCUCCAUAGGUCAGGGAUUCGACCAAAGAACACCCAGCCUCGAUCAGGGCAUGGUCCGGUGUGGCCCGUCUCCUCUCCUGGGACGAGAUCUGGAUAUCCCGGGCCCCUCGGGUCCCCUGGUGGGGACCAUGAAGGACAGCAUCUACCGGAACCCAGAGGCCGGCACUCCGUGGGCAAGAAAGAAUACCAAGUGUUCCUGUGGCCCUUCUCCUGUCUCUUGGGAACAGCAGACCCACUGGACGAUUGAUUGUCCCACGAGACUGGAGUCCACACAAGUGCACACAGCGGCCUGGCCUUUGCCUUGUGUCCAUCCAGGAGCGACCUUCUGCCACAUUGGAAGCUGGGCCUAGCGCCUCAUUGAGGGCAUGGUCCGGUGUGGCCCGUCUCCUCACUUGGGACGAGAUCUGGAUGUCCCGGGACCCUCGGGUCCCCUGGUGGGGACCAUGAAGGACAGCAUCUACCGGAACCCAGAGGCCGGCACUCCGUGGGCAAGAAAGAAUACCAAGUGUUCCUGUGGCCCUUCUCCUGUCUCUUGGGAACAGCAGACCCACUGGACGACUGAUUGUCCCACGAGACUGGAGUCCACACGAGUGCACACAGCGGCCUGGCCUUUGCCUUGUGUCCAUCCAGGAGCGACCUUCUGCCACAUUGGAAGCUGGGCCUAGCGCCCCAUUGAGGUGGGUGGCCGUCACCCCAGUGUCAUCUGCCACCGUUCCCGUGUGCCCUGACCUCUGGGACACAAGCCACUCGAUGCCCUACCAGUCUGGGGUUGGUUGGCAGCCCUGACCUGGAAGCUUGGUUUGGCGAAGGUGCUAGUUGCCAGCAGACCCAAGGUCGGCCAGGCAGCAGGAGUGGUCACCUGGUAGGCCAGGGUCAAGUAGGUAGCUGCUGGACCUCAGAGGGCUGUGUUGCUGUUGGGGAGGGGGAGGGGUAGAGGUGGCCCCGAGGUGAAAUAGGGAGGAUAUCUCAGGAAUCCUAGAGGGGAAAGUGUUCAUAAGAAAUUAUAUGAAGCAAUUUCAACAAAGGAACAGGAGAACUUGGUGAUGUAGAAAAAACCUUUAUGAACUGCCACGUGUAAAAGUGUUGCAUG